GAUAAACGCUGGCGGCGUGCCUAAUGCAUGCAAGUCGCACGGGGUGUUCCUUCGGGGGCAUCGAGUGGCGAACGGGUGAGGAACGCGUGGACAACCUACCCCGGCGUGGGGGAUACCCGCCAGAAAUGGCGGCUAAUACCGCGUACGGUCGCCUGACGGCAGGUUGGGCGAAGAAAGCAGUAAUGCGCGCUGGGAGGGGUCUGCGGCCGAUUAGCUGGUUGGCGGGGUAGUGGCCCACCAAGGCGAUGAUCGGUAGCUGGUCUGAGAGGAUGAUCAGCCACACGGGGACUGAGACACGGCCCCGACUCCUACGGGAGGCAGCAGCAAGGAAUUUUCCGCAAUGGGGGCAACCCUGACGGAGCAACGCCGCGUGACGGAUGACGCCUCUUGGGGUGUAAACGUCUUUUGCCGGGGAAGAGAACGGACGGUACCCGGCGAAUCAGGACCGGCUAACUACGUGCCAGCAGCCGCGGUAAUACGUAGGGUCCGAGCGUUGUCCGGAAUUACUGGGCGUAAAGCGUGCGCAGGCGGCCCGCGAGGUGUCACGUGAAAGCCCCGGGCUCAACCCGGGAGGGUCGUGGCAAACCGGCGGGCUUGAGGCCGGUAGAGGUGGGUGGGACUCCUGGUGGAGUGGUGAAAUGCGUAGAGAUCAGGAAGAACACCCGUGGCGAAGGCGGCCCACUGGGCCGGUACUGACGCUGAGGCACGAAGGCGUGGGGAGCGAACGGGAUUAGAUACCCCGGUAGUCCACGCAGUAAACGAUGUCGACUCGGUGUGGGCGGUCUUGACCCCGUCCGCGCCACAGCUAACGCGACAAGUCGACCGCCUGGGGAGUACGGCCGCAAGGCUAAAACUCAAAGGAAUUGACGGGGGCCCGCACAAGCGGUGGAGCAUGUGGUUUAAUUCGACGCAACGCGCAGAACCUUACCAGCCCUUGACAUCCCGGUCGCGGACUCCAGAGACGGAGUUCUUCAGUUCGGCUGGACCGGAGACAGGUGCUGCAUGGCUGUCGUCAGCUCGUGUCGUGAGAUGUUGGGUUAAGUCCCGCAACGAGCGCAACCCUUGAUCUUAGUUGCCAGCAUUCAGUUGGGCACUCUAAGGUGACUGCCGGUGACAAACCGGAGGAAGGUGGGGAUGACGUCAAAUCAUCAUGCCCCUUAUGACCUGGGCUACACACGUGCUACAAUGGAUGGUACAAAGGGCUGCAAAACCGUGAGGUCAAGCGAAUCCCAUAAAACCAUUCUCAGUUCGGAUUGUAGGCUGCAACUCGCCUACAUGAAGCUGGAAUCGCUAGUAAUCGUGGAUCAGCAUGCCACGGUGAAUACGUUCCCGGGUCUUGUACACACCGCCCGUCACACCACGAAAGUUUGUAACACCCAAAGUCGGUGGGGUAACCGUAAGGAGCCAGCCGCCUAAGGUGGGACAGAUGAUUGGGGUGAAGUCGUAACAAGGUAGCCGUAUCGGAAGG
rnacentral:rRNA from 1 species